rnacentral:rRNA from 1 species
UAGGGAAUCUUCGGCAAUGGACGGAAGUCUGACCGAGCAACGCCGCGUGAGUGAAGAAGGUUUUCGGAUCGUAAAGCUCUGUUGUAAGAGAAGAACGAGUGUGAGAGUGGAAAGUUCACACUGUGACGGUAUCUUACCAGAAAGGGACGGCUAACUACGUGCCAGCAGCCGCGGUAAUACGUAGGUCCCGAGCGUUGUCCGGAUUUAUUGGGCGUAAAGCGAGCGCAGGCGGUUAGAUAAGUCUGAAGUUAAAGGCUGUGGCUUAACCAUAGUACGCUUUGGAAACUGUUUAACUUGAGUGCAAGAGGGGAGAGUGGAAUUCCAUGUGUAGCGGUGAAAUGCGUAGAUAUAUGGAGGAACACCGGUGGCGAAAGCGGCUCUCUGGCUUGUAACUGACGCUGAGGCUCGAAAGCGUGGGGAGCAAACAGGAUUAGAUACCCUGGUAGUCCACGCCCUAAACGAUGUCUACUAGUUGUCGGGGAUUAAUUUCCUUGGUAACGCAGCUAACGCGUGAAGUAGACCGCCUGGGGAGUACGGUCGCAAGAUUA